rnacentral:tRNA from 1 species
GUCCGAGUGGUGAAAUGGGUAAACACACAGCACUUAAAAUGCUGCGACUGUUGUCUUGGCGGUUCGAGUCCGCCCUCGGGCACCA